UACUGUGAUAGCUGUGAUCAAAGUGCACAUGCGCUGCUAGAAAGUUUCUGGUAGUGCAUGCGCACUUUGGUUACAGCUGUUUCUAUUCAGUUAUACACUGCGUGGUGCAUGCGCACUUUGGUUACAGCUGUUUCUAUUCAGUUAUACACUGCGCACAGGCCCUGUUUAUACCCACAGUCCACUUCUGCGUAUGUAACGCAAGACAUUGUGGCGUCAUCUCUCUGAAGUCAUUUUACCUGUUUUCAUCACACAUAUCCCAGAUCCUACUAAAACAAUACUUCCACAAUCACUUACCAUGCUAUACAGAGGGGUUUAUAUGUUUUUAGUGAUAUGUUGAACUUGGUCAAAAAGCUCAGUUUCGGUCUUAUCCAGUCUAUAACCUUCUUUCACUUCAAAAUUCAACUUCCUGCCCAACAAACAGUUUACACGGUGUCAUUAAAGAAGAUAUGAAAUAAAAGAACAGAACAGAAUGAGCUCCAUAGUGAAACAUCAUCAGCGGAUAAUCCCAGUAAGGAGAAAGUUGUGCUUACCGCACAACAACUAAACUCACACACAACAAUGGUUUAGGAUAAGCUUUGAAGAAGGUUGAAGGACUGACUCUAUUGUACUAUGAAACCAACAGGAAAUCAGGGAAAAUCAAGGACCAUGCAGACACCAUUUUAGUCUGGCUGCUUGUUAAGUGAUUAAAGAUACUAUGUGAUAUAUUGUAAUGUUGAAGAGAAAAUAACAUAAAAAUAAGUAUGUACAGAGUAUCUACAUAUACACUCACACUUUGUAAUUUCAGAAUAUUUUAGAAUAUCUAAACAAAACAAAUACAGAUACAUGUAGCCAGAUGAAGACAAUCCAAUCUCCUAUCAUUUUAGAAUUAAAGUAUAACUAGUAAAAUACAUAACCAUAAUAAGGUAUGAUAUAUGUGAUAAUAAAAGACUAAUA